ACGGUGAGUAACACGUAUCCAACCUGCCGUCUACUCUUGGCCAGCCUUCUGAAAGGAAGAUUAAUCCAGGAUGGCAUCAUGAGUUCACAUGUCCGCAUGAUUAAAGGUAUUUUCCGGUAGACGAUGGGGAUGCGUUCCAUUAGAUAGUAGGCGGGGUAGCGGCCCACCUAGUCAACGAUGGAUAGGGGUUCUGAGAGGAAGGUCCCCCACAUUGGAACUGAGACACGGUCCAA
rnacentral:rRNA from 1 species